rnacentral:tRNA from 1 species
UCCGGAGUGGGGUAGUGGUAGCCUGCAGGCCUUUGAAGCCGUGCGACGUUCGUUCGAAUCGAACCUCCGGAACCA